UGCCCAAGAGAUCGGGAUAACACCUGGAAACAGAUGCUAAUACCGGAUAAUAACAGAUGAUGCCUAUCAACUGUUUAAAAGAUGGUUCUGCUAUCACUCUUGGAUGGACCUGCGGUGCAUUAGCUAGUUGGUAGGGUAACGGCCUACCAAGGCGAUGAUGCAUAGCCGAGUUGAGAGACUGAUCGGCCACAUUGGGACUGAGACACGGCCCAAACUCCUACGGGAGGCAGCAGAU
rnacentral:rRNA from 1 species